UGAGGGAUAUUGGUCAAUGGGCGCAAGCCUGAACCAGCGACGCCGCGUGGGUGAAGAAGGUCUUCGGAUCGUAAACCCCUUUUCCCACUGAAGAGGAAGGACGGUAGGUGGGGAAGAAGUCUCGGCUAACUACGUACCAGCAGCCGCGGUAAAACGUAGGAGACAAGCGUUAUCCGGAGUUACUGGGCGUAAAGGGCGUGCAGGUGGCGUCUUAAGUCUGUUGUGAAAGCGCCUGGCUUAACCGGGCGAGGCCAAUGGAGACUGAGAGGCUGGAGGACGGCGGAGGGGUGUGGAAUUCCUGGUGUAGUGGUGAAAUGCGUAGAGAUCCGGAGGAACACCAGAGGCGAAGGCGGCACUCUAAGCCGUACCUGACACUGAGACGCGACAGCACGGGGAGCAAACG
rnacentral:rRNA from 1 species